UACGAAGGGGGCUAGCGUUACUCGGAUUGACUGGGCGUAAAGGGCGCGUAGGCGGUUUGUACAGUCAGACGUGAAAUUCCUGUGCUCAACCUGGGGGCUGCGUUUGAUACGUGCGGACUUGAGUUCGGAAGAGGGUCGUGGAAUUCCCAGUGUAGAGGUGAAAUUCGUAGAUAUUGGGAAGAACACCGGUGGCGAAGGCGGCGACCUGGUCCGAUACUGACGCUGAGGCGCGAAAGCGUGGGGAGCAAACAGG
rnacentral:rRNA from 1 species